GGAUGAACGCUGGCGGCGUGCCUACUACAUGCAAGUCGAGCGAACGGACGAGAAGCUUGCUUCUCUGAUGUUCGCGGCGGACGGGUGAGUAACACGUGGAUAACCUACCUAUAAGACUGGGAUAACUUCGGGAAACCGUAGCUAAUACCGGAUAAUAUUUUGAACCGCAUGGUUCAAAAGUGAAAGACGGUCUUGCUGUCACUUAUAGAUGGAUCCGCGCUGCAUUAGCUAGUUGGUAAGGUAACGGCUUACCAAGGCAACGAUGCAUAGCCGACCUGAGAGGGUGAUCGGCCACACUGGAACUGAGACACGGUCCAGACUCCUACGGGAGGCAGCAGUAGGGAAUCUUCCGCAAUGGGCGAAAGCCUGACGGAGCAACGCCGCGUGAGUGAUGAAGGUCUUCGGAUCGUAAAACUCUGUUAUUAGGGAAGAACAUAUGUGUAAGUAACUGUGCACAUCUUGACGGUACCUAAUCAGAAAGCCACGGCUAACUACGUG
rnacentral:rRNA from 1 species